rnacentral:rRNA from 1 species
GAUGAACGCUGGCGGCGUGCCUAACACAUGCAAGUCGAACGGAGUCCAGCCUUUAAGACCUUCGGGUCAAAGAGGGGAAGACUGAGUGGCGGACGGGUGAGUAACACGUGGGCAACCUGGCUCAUAGAGGGGGAUAACAGAGAGAAAUUUCUGCUAAUACCGCAUAAGCACACACUGCCGCAUGGCAGAGGGUGAAAAGAGAAUCGCUAUGAGAUGGACCCGCGUCUGAUUAGCCAGUUGGCAGGGUAAGAGCCUACCAAAGCGACGAUCAGUAGCCGAUCUGAGAGGAUGAACGGCCACAUUUGGACUGAGACACGGCCCAAACUCCUACGGGAGGCAGCAGUGGGGGAUAUUGCACAAUGGGGGGAACCCUGAUGCAGCGACGCCGCGUGAGUGAAGAAGUAUUUCGGUAUGUAAAGCUCUAUCAGCAGGGAAGAUAAUGACAGUACCUGAAGAAGAAGCCCCGGCUAACUACGUG